rnacentral:lncRNA from 1 species
UUAACUUACAAGUCAAUGCUAUAAUUCAAAAAAUUUUGAAGAAAGUAGAAAAUAAUUUGAUCCAGAAGCAUGUGCAAUACUACCCUAAAACGUAUUUUCAUUUUUCGUGCGGGAUUAAUUAAAAAUAUCGCCUCAAAAUACAACUGAAAUUUUUUCUACGAGUAUGAACACGAAGAAGAUUAACAAGGACUCUUUUAAUACCAGACAAC